CACUUCCCGCAUCCAAAGUUUAGAACCCAAUUCCCCCAAAUUACCCAAUCACCAAAAACACAAUUCCCCCUUAUUCUACCCUAAAUUCACGGUUGUUCCUCCGUCAUUCUCUGCUGCCGUCGUUCCUCCGUCACGGUUAUGCCGCCGUCACUCUUCUUGCUCGCGCCGCCAUCACGCUCUGUUACUACUGUCCCUCUUUCGCUCCUCAAGUUGGCGCCACUGUCUCUCCUGUUGCUCGGGCUGUCGUCGCUCCUCCUACGUUGGACCUUCUCUGCUCUCUCUUACGCGUCUUUUGUCUCUCAAUCGAGCUCACAAGAACUUUUUCUGUAACUGAGCACCUGUUUCAAUACAAUCGCUAUCCAAAGCAGCCGAUAAUUACAGGAAAGUGCACGUGGUAUGAGGCGGUGGAUGAGGCGUAGUUAUUAUGGGCUCUCAACAUGACUUAUAAGUUUUGGGUAAAACAUUGGGUUCAGCAGGGACUUCAUCUGCCCAGGAUAUGGUUGGUAGAGAUGGAGAUCGCGGUCAUGGCCUUGGCCGUGGGCAGAGGCCGAGGCCAAAAGGGUGAUCCAGCUACUUUACAUAUCUCUGAUAAAGACGGAGAUUGUGGCCGUGGCUGAGGCUGAAAGGGGAGGCCUAGGCUUUCUACCGGUCGCCCGCUUGACUUACAUGCAGAUCCAUACACUCUCAUUGGGUCAUCAUCAGGCACGACUGUUCCGACUAGUGAGAGACUGCCACCUAUUGCUACUACUACCCCCUCUCAUCAUGAGCCUCAGAUACACAUGAUGCCUGCUCCGAGUGCACCAAGAUCAUGAGCUCAACAAGCCAAUGAGCAUUCCAACACUGCCUCACUUGGUGUGUAGAGUGAUCCAACUAUCGUAGCUCCCAGUCGAGCAGGAUCUUGUGGGAAAAAACAAACCACAUCUACUGGUACCCAAGAUACUCAAGGUCCAGGAACAUCCACUACCACUGGUCACUCCGCCACAAGUGCUCAUAAGCUUAAAUAUGAUGGUGCCAAAUGAUAUACCUUGGAAUUAUCGAUGUAGUUGGCACCCACCUAAACCUGGCUUGAAGUGCAUUUCUCAGGUUUUUAAGGAAAAUUACAACAAGUCUUGGCUGAGUUUUGAUGAGGCAGAUGAUGAUACUUGAAAAAUAUGGUGGACAGAAUGGAGGGUAAAUUUUAUCUAUCUUAUUUUACGUAUUUUACAAUCUUAUAUAUUAUAGUAUGUUAUAUAAUAGCAAGAUGUUAUUUCUUUUUUUUAAAAUAGAAAUGUUUUGACAUUCUUUAUACGGAAGAAGAUGACAUAUAUCAGGCUUGGAGGUUUAGGGCAGCCAAGCGCCUACGAGGUAUGCUCCAUGCCAUUCGCAAAAAAGGAGCCCAUCCAUAUUGGAUCCCACCAAAAGUUCAUGGUGAAUUAAUGAGACGUUGGGACACUGAUGCCUACAGACAAUUACAGGUGAGAAAUACAGCUGUUGGAAAAUUAACUCGAGGUACCUCUCUUCACACUGCAGGAGGCACCACCUUUCCAGAAGCGAGGUUAUGCUUGAAUUAAUGGAUUGGAAGACCAUCACGUAUGGAUGAAUUUUUUUAGCACACCCAUACUCGCAAAGAGGAUAGGACUCAAUGGGUUGAUGAACACUCCCGAAUGGUAAAGGAGACAUUUCAAGAGCACAUGUUUCAGCCUGAGCAAGAGCGACAGGCUGCUAUAUAGGCUGGUGUAACUAAUCCACCGCCUGUUUCUGAGAAAAGCAUAUAGAUUGAGAUGGUGGGUGGAAAAUGAAGAGGUAGGGUAUAUGGCAUGGAUGAGGUAAGGAACUCUUCCCUGGUGCGACCCCGAGUUGAUGGGCCAACCACGGCUACCAACACUGAUGUUUUGAAUCUUAAAGAACAAAUCAUAAUACUCAAUAGGGAAGUUGAACAACAUGCUGCUAAAUAUAGCGAGAUUGAAGACCACUAUCAAAAGGAGAAAAGAGAGUGGCAAAAGACUAUCGAAACCUUGCGUGAGGAUCUCAACACCACAGUAACUCACAAAUGGAUCAGUUUAGUCAUCAACUUAGCAGUUUAACUGUGUAUGUGAGGGCCAUGGGUCCUAGUAGUUCUAGAUCACGUGUCCCUCCACCUCUUCCUUUUACUUUUCCAAGCUCCCAGAAAAGCGCAGCCCAAACCCCAAGAAGAAAACUCCCACCUAUCUUGCAGCCCCUAAGACAGUCACACGGUGCACAUACGGAGGAUAAUACGAUCUCGAUGACUCAAAUGAGGACUAUUUAGAUGAGUACGAGUAGGAUUAUUUACUUUGUUUUGAAUAUUUUGUAUUAUUAGUGGAGUUUAGUUACUUAUCUUGUUUUAAAUCUUUAAGGUAGAGGAUUAUUUAUUAUUUUUUCGAAAAGUAUGUAAACUCAUUAUCUAAUAUUUAUUAUAAAUUUUAUUUUUGUAUUUAAAA